GAUGAACGCUGGCGGCGUGCUUAACACAUGCAAGUCGAACGGUGAAGCCAAGCUCGCUUGGUGGAUCAGUGGCGAACGGGUGAGUAACACGUGAGCAACCUGCCCCAGUCUCUGGGAUAAGCGCUGGAAACGGCGUCUAAUACCGGAUAUGAGCUCUCAUCGCAGGGUGGGGGUUGGCAAGACUUUCGGUCUGGGAUGGGCUCGCGGCCUAUCAGCUUGUUGGUGUGGUCAUGGCUCACCAAGGCGUCGACGGGUAGCCGGCCUGAGAGGGUGACGGGCCACACUUGGACUGAGACACGGCCCAGACUCCUACGGGAGGCAGCGGUGGGGAAUAUCGCUCAAUGGGCGGAAGCCUGAUGCAGCAACGCCGCGUGAGGGAUGACGGCCUUCGGGUUGUAAACCUCUUUUAGCAGGGAAGAAGCGUGAGUGACGGUACCUGCAGAAGAAGCACCGGCUAACUACGUGCCAGCCGCCGCAGUAAGAC
rnacentral:rRNA from 1 species